rnacentral:rRNA from 1 species
UACGUAGGUGGCAAGCGUUGUCCGGAUUUACUGGGCGUAAAGAGCGCGCAGGCGGUUGUGCAAGUCGCGUGUGAAAGCCCCCGGCUCAACUGGGGAGGGUCACGCGAUACUGUUCGACUUGAAGGCAGGAGAGGGAAGCGGAAUUCCCGGUGUAGUGGUGAAAUGCGUAGAUAUCGGGAGGAACACCAGUGGCGAAGGCGACUACCUGGCCUGUUCUUGACGCUGAGGCGCGAAAGCUAGGGGAGCAAACGGG